rnacentral:lncRNA from 1 species
CGGGUGAAGGGGCUGCGGGAGGCAAUAAGCGCCGCCAAGCACGAGGCUGGGCAGCUGACAGCCGAGCAGCAGCAUCUGCGCCGACAGCAGAGCAGCCUUCAGGAACGCAUGCAGCGCCUGCAGCACCAGGUUAUCUCUUCUUUUAAGUGGUGAAGCAGGACUUAUUAUUAUUAUUAUUAUUAUUAUUAUUAUUAUUAUUAUUAUUAUUAUUAUUAUUAUUAUUAUUACAGGCUUUUCCUGCCAAAGGCAAGGUGCGUCUGCAAACAAGCUGCAUGUAAAGGCUGCCAGAUUCCUACCCCUUGUUGGACUUGCCAGAUCAAGCAAGACCCAAUCAACCAUGGGGCACGGUGCUCAGCAGGACUUAUACAUGCGAUUAAAUACAUUGCUGGAGCGCAUCUUGGGGGCACAGAGCGCGCCAACAGUCUGCUUUCCUGUACACCCUGCUGCAGUUGUCUCUCUGGUGCUUUCAGCCAGCAGGAAGGUCUUUCUGGGCUCAUAACACCAUGAAGGAGCAAUAUAUAAGCACAUCCUGCUCGCUGCACAUUUUUGCAGGAACCAAUUCUGCCACGUCGGUGUUGCAGCCAACUCCAUAGUGGUUCAGACAGGGUUGGAGCAUGGAAAGCAUGCUGAUCAUUGGCAUGCAUGGCAGCAGGCCCGCAAUGUUGCUUGAAUACCCACAGGCUGCAGGAGAUUGAGCAGGAUACUGAGCAAGUCUGCAAGAAGUAAUCCUGCACCAAAUGCACGACUUCUUCUAACCGCUGAAAUUAAACCUGUGCCUGGAUCCUGUCUGUGCAGUGGGAGUUGCGUAAGGAGGCUGCCCUGAGCGCGAUAGUAGAGCAGCAAAAAGACAAGGAGGCCGUCGAGGCAGAGAACGCCGCCAACAACGCCAAGC